GCCAGCCGCUCAGAACUUAAGGAAUUGACGGGGCCGCACAAGCGGUGGAGUAUGUGGUUUAAUUCGAUGCAACGCGAAGAACCUUACCUGGUCUUGACAUCCCGGAGACCCUUAGGAAACUAGGGGGUGCUUCCAUCUGGAAGAAUCUGGAGACAGGUGCUGCAUGGCUGUCGUCAGCUCGUGUCGUGAGAUGUUGGGUUAAGUCCCGCAACGAGCGCAACCCUUGCCUUUAGUUGCCAGCAGUUCGGCUGGGCACUCUAAAGGGACUGCCGGUGUUAAACCGGAGGAAGGUGGGGAUGACGUCAAGUCCUCAUGGCCUUUAUGACCAGGGCUACACACGUACUACAAUGGCCGAUACAAAGGGCAGCGACACUGCGAGGUGAAGCCAAUCCCGUAAAAUCGGUCUCAGUCCGGAUUGGAGUCUGCAACUCGACUCCAUGAAGUUGGAAUCGCUAGUAAUCGUGGAUCAGCAUGCCACGGUGAAUACGUUCCCGGGCCUU
rnacentral:rRNA from 1 species